rnacentral:lncRNA from 1 species
GAAUGCCUUGUUUGUGCUUUUAUAUGAUUGUUGGAUUCCCUCUUGAAUUAACCAGUUACACAGGUUGAUCAUGAUUGUUUUUUCGCACUUCUCUACUUGCUUUGUUGUUUUUCUUUUAGUAAGAAUCAGUAUAUAGUUUCUGGUUUCUUUCAUUUUUAUUUUGCAUGCAGCGCUCAAAGAAUUUAAAAUUGGGAUUUACUGAAGAACGAAAGAUUUAUCCUCCAAUUGCAUUUGCCGCCUUCUAGCAAUUCAAUAUCAAAAUAUGAUAAGAGAUUAAGAUGAUGAAAGAAAGGGGGAAAAGAGUCUCUUGAAAUUUGACAGAAGAAUUUAUUGAAUCCAAUCCUAUACGUGUGGGUAGAACUGAUGUAUUAGUACUUUUAUUUGUGUGAUGACGUAUUUUGUUAGGACAGGAGAAGUGUUAAUUUUCUGUUUUAUGCAAAACAUUAGGAACUUUUGAUAUAGAUAUAUAUAUCGGAAUGAUCUUCUAAGCAUUUAAUUG